AUAUAAAGAUAACAACAAAAAUAGCUGAUAAGAGUUUAAUUCAACCCUUUAUCGGGCGAAGAACCGUAUUUGGUAACUUCAGCUGAUAUCCAAAAUAAAAAAUAAAAAUAUUUCGAGAAAAAAAGUUGCAAAUUUAGAUUAAAGUGGCAAAUCUACAAGAAAAAAAGCAGCAGAUUUAAGAGAUUUAAAGUGGCAAAUCUGUGCGAAAAAAGUCACAGAUUUACAGGAAAAAAGCUACUUUUUUUUCUUGCAGAUUCACCAAUUUAAAGCUCAUAAAUCUGCACAUUUUUUUUCUUUUUUUGCCACUUUAAUCUCGUAAAUUUAUUUCUCACAAUAUUACCUCCCUCCCCCAGGUCCAUAUGUGUUUUUACACAUUCUGGCAGUGUGUAAUAUUCUCCAAUAUUAUAUAUCAGCUCUUAAAUUAAACUCUUAUCAGCUAUUUUUGUUGUUAUCAUUAUAUUUGUCCAAACAAAUGUACCUUUAGUUGUACCAGGCAUUAAAAUGAACAAGAAAUUGAAGAAAAAGGCUGAUCUAAUCAUUUUUUCCAUGAUGGUAAAUGCUCAUUUUGGGGGUUGAAGUACUUUUUUUUAACUUGACAUUUUUUCAUGAUGAUCAAAAAGAGGUAACACUUUACAAUAACCAACUGAGUGAUGUUUAUAGAUGGUUUAUAGACCAAUUAUUAACCAUUUACAAAGUGCUAUAUACAUAUUUAAUCUUUAAAUGUUUUCAACCAAUUUCUUAAAGGUAUAUGACUCAUUUAAAAAAUCAUUAACAUACUUAAUAUGGUGUUAAAAAUGUUAAAAUGAGUGCAACUAAAACUAUUAAGAAACUAUUAAAUAUAAUGGAAUUGUUUGUUAAUGGCAAAGUAGCGAUAAACUUACAUUAAUAUACCAUCUAUUUGUCAUUUAUAAAAGAUUUAGUUAGUUAAAUAUUCAUAAAUUAUGUAUUUCCCAUUCUAAAUGGUCUAUAUACAGUUUAUAAAUGAUGAUUAAACAUUAAUACACUAUCUGUUUACCAUUUAUAAAUUAUGGUUAUUGUUAAGUGUUACCCAAAAAGAUAAUUCAAAAGUUGUUCGACCUGAAAGUCGACUUACAACAAGCUGUGUUUGUGCCAAUGAAGUGAGAUUCCAGCAUUGUACUUUUUUCAAAUCUUACACAUAGUGGCUUUAAAAAUAGAUCUAUUUGAAGACUGAAUAAUGACAGAAUGACUUGAUAUAAUGAGCAGUUGAGGAUCAUGCAGACAGAUGUUUAGGAAGCCAAACAGUCAGUUUUGUUUCUCUUUAAGUGGCACUUUGAGCCAGAACGUGCAGCAUGUGGCUCCGUUUCUUUUGUCCUGCAGCUUUAAUUUUAAGAGUCUCGACCAGAAAACCCCCCGUAGCUCCCUGUGACCUUUCACCCCCUCUCAUCUGCAGAUUUGAGUCAUUAAAUGGAAAUUAAUUGAAAUUUUCCCCCUCAAAAUGUAAAGGCACAGUUUAACCCCUUAAACCAGGGGUGUCAAACUCAAAUACACAAUGGGCCAAAAUGUAAAACUUGAAUAAAAUCGCGGGCCAACAUUGAACAAAUAAACCUUUUAAUAUAUACCAAACAUGUUUUGCUUUAACAUUAAAUAUGGAACCAGCAACGCUUAUAAACAUACAAUAUAUAACUAAAUAGUGCAGACAUGCAAAAUCAAAUUUCAAAUAAAAAACACAUCAAUGUCAUUAAUUUAUUAAAUAAAAAUUAAAUAAAAAUCGUGACAAAAUGACAAAAAAACACACAAAAUGACUAGAAAAAAGACACAAAAUAACAAAAAGACGCAGAAUUUAUUAAUUUAUUAAAAAUUAAAUAAAAAUCGUAUGCCUCUUUUCUAUUUGCAUCCUUCUGAUUUAAAUAUCAAAAUAAACUUUUUCAACAGGUUAAUACAUUUAAAAAUAAAAUAACAAUAAUAAAUCUAGUAUUAGCGGUAAAUGUGCCGUAUAAUACCGGCGGGUCAGCUUUUAUUGUACAAUAAUAAUAAGAUAAUAAUUUGGUAUUGCCUCGCGGGCCAAAUAAAAUUACACUGCGGGCCAAAUUUGGCCCGUGGGCCAGAGUUUGACACCCCUGCCUUAAACAGAGCCUAAAUGUGUCAAAGUCGCCUCUGACUGCACUGAAAAAAGAACUUAAUUGAAUUGUUUCAUUUGGUAACACCUAAAUAAAUUAAGUUCUUUCAAAAUUAAUUUAAUAAGUUACAUUAACACAAUUGAAUUUAAUUGAAAGAAAUUAAUUUGAAAGAACUUAACUCAUUUAGGUGUUACCAAAUGAAACAAUUCAAUUCUUUGAAUUUUUUUUUCUUUUUUCAGUGUGACAAAAUGACCCUUUUUUCUCCACUUUUCUCCUCAUGCAGUGAUUUGGAAGUUGCCAUAUGAUUUCACCAUCGUUAUGUUUUAUAUUGUAAAUAUUGUACAGACACACCCACCACUGCCUCAGAGAACAGGAAGAUAAACACUAUGACUGUGUCAGUGUUAAACACUCAGAUUAAAUAGAGGAGUUUUUUUUUUAUAUAUAGCGUAAAGGGCUGCUUCUAUUCUGCUUCUUUCUUUCUUUUAUUUGGUGGGAUAGUAGAACACAACUUGCCCUGGUAGACUGCUGUUAAACUAUAUGCUUCUCUUUUUGUAUUUUUUUUUAUUUGGUUAUUUGUGGGGAAUGAUGAUGAUGAGUUCAGAUGAAGAUCCUCCUCCUGUGAGUCUUAAAAAGAAGUUCUUCUGAUCUAAAAGCUGUGUGUUAAUGAGAGGGAGGCAGCAGGAAGCUGAGACCAGGAGACAGAAUGUAAAUGUUGGUUUGGUUCUGACUCAUGUGUUGAGUCACCAUGUGAGAGCCAGAUGUUCAUCCUCGCCUUUCUUUAUUUAUCGUUUAUUUUUAGCCGAUUCUGAGUGUCAGACAGACAGAAACAGACUCAGCGGGGUCAGAUUGUUGGUUAAAAGGAGUUUUUUUUAAAUGCUUUCGCAUGUUUUGGCUCAUUAACUACAAUUCAGGCGUAGUUUAUACCACAACCAAAACAUUUUUUUUCUCCAUAUGUUCACAAAAAUCUGAUUUACAGAUUGAAACUUGCUUAAAAUUUGGGCGUCCAACAGUCACUAAAGGUGGGAAACAAAAGUCAAAUAAAAUGUGAAAAAUAUAGUUUGGGUAUAUGUAAAUAAAUUAACCCUAUAAAGCCAAAUGUAUCAUAUUUGUUACACAAUAACUUAUUUGAAAAUUUGUCAGUUGUCAUUUUAUUACAUUUCAUACAUUAUGCAUUAAAUAAAGCAACAUACAGUCUUUUUCUCAUUUAGGUAAACUAGGUAAAGGUUUAACUGACAUAAUUAGGUAUAUUUAGAGUAAAAUUGAGAUAUCUCUCGAAUAAUUCAAAGAAAAAAACAUUUUUUUGGUGUGUAUUUUUAGGUGGCAAAAAAAUUGAGCAUUGAUGAUGUGUAGGAGAUAAACUGAGCAACAAAUUGCACAAAAAUACCAGAUGUAGCAAAAAUGAAAUGCUGGUUCCACUGGUGGAUCUGUCAUUGCUGCAUGAAAACUUCAUAUCAGCAGAUGUAUUAUGAUGUUGUGUUAUAUGGAAAAAAAUAUUUUGUAUGUUUGAGGAAAAUGUUAAAAGGAAAGUCAAAGUUUUAAUAGGUUAAGAAUAUUAGGUUUUAUAUGUUUUUGUUAGUUCAAGAAAAACAAACUGUGAGCAACAAAUUGCACAAAAAGACCCAAUGUAUCAAAUAUGAUACAAAUUUCAUGGUUCAGGCUUUAUAGGGUUAACUGGUGUCAAUGCAAACAUUAAUUCAGUUAAAAGUGAAUAUAUUAGGUUGGUUCAAUUUAAAUGUAUUAGUUUGGUUCAAUAACUAAAAUGUUAAGAAAUAAUUUGGAUCAAGGCAAAGAAUUAAGGUUGAGUCAAGAGCAGUUUUAUUGUUUACAUCAACAUAAAAUAAUCAAAGUUACUCUAUUUAGAUUCUGUGAAGUCAGAUAUUUUAGAUGUGAUAUCUGGACAUCAUUUUUUUUAGUUUGAGCAAGGUUAUAAUUUUUUCCACCAUAUUAAUCUGUCUUCUAGCGACAAACAGGGCUGCAAGUUAUUUUUAUCAAGCAUUAAUCUGUUUGGUUUAUAAAAUGUCACAUUCAAAAUGAUAGAAAAAAGCACAAAGACUAAUGUGAAACCUUCAUGUUUUGUCUAACUCUCCAAAACUCUAAAGAUAUUUAGUUUGAAGCUAAAUUUAAAGAAUAGAGAAGAGGAGCAGAUCUUCACAUUUGAGAAGCUAAAUAAAGUGGAAAAAUAGUUAAUUAUCAAUAUAGUUUUAUUUAAAUUUUCUUGGUUUAUUUGUCUAUUUGGCGACAAUUACAAGUGUCCUCACACUGCCAAAUAAUUUGUCGAGUCAUUUGUUUUUUUGCAAGAUAGUCACCAACAUAUUUAUUGAAGUUAUGUUGAUCUAAUUAAUUUCCAAAUGUAACUUCUGUAUUACGCUGCUCCACAGCAGAUGUUUGUGAUUGGUCGGUUUUAGUGUCAAUCAGAAUUAUUGGCCAAAGUUGUAAUGUUUGGAAACUGUUAUUUACAAGCUCUUUGUUUACAGAAUGCUCCUCUGCCUCCUGUGUAUCUUUUCAUUGGAUUCUAUGCAGCGCUUUUGGGCUGUUGUCUCUUAUAUUUCUCAUCCAGUCUUGGUAAAACUGAAG